rnacentral:rRNA from 1 species
CCUACGGGUGGCAGCAGUGGGGAAUAUUGGGCAAUGGAGGAAACUCUGACCCAGCAAAGCCGCGUGAAUGAAGAAGGUCCUCGGAUUGUAAAGUUCUUUAGUCAGGGAAGAAUAAAAUGACGCUACCUGAAGAAUAAGCUCCGGCUAACUACGUGCCAGCAGCCGCGGGAAUACGUAGGGAGCAAGCGUUGUUCGGAAUGACUGGGCGUAAAGGGUGCGUAGGGGGUUAUACAAAUUAGAAGGUGAAUACACAGGGCUUAACCCGGGUGCUGCUUUUAAAACUGUAAGACUUGAGUGCAGUAGAGGUGAGUGGAAUUCGUGGUGUAGCGGUGGAAUGCGUAGAUAUUAGGAGGAACUCCAGAGGCGAAGGCGGCUAACUGGACUGCAACUGACGCUGAGGCACGAAAGUGUGGGGAGCAAACAGGAUUAGAUACCCCAGUAGUC